rnacentral:rRNA from 1 species
GCAAGCCUGAUCCAGCCAUGCCGCGUGAGUGAAGAAGGCCUUAGGGUUGUAAAACUCUUUCAACUGUGAGGAUGAUGACAGUAGCAGUAGAAGAAGCACCGGCUAACUUCGUGCCAGCAGCCGCGGUAAUACGAAGGGUGCGAGCGUUGUUCGGAAUUACUGGGCGUAAAGGGCGUGUAGGCGGAUUGCAAAGAUAGAGGUGAAAGGCCUGGGCUCAACCUGGGAACUGCCUUUAUAACUUGCAGUCUAGAGAUCGAGAGAGGAUAGCGGAAUUCCUAGUGUAGAGGUGAAAUUCGUAGAUAUUAGGAAGAACACCAGUGGCGAAGGCGGCUAUCUGGCUCGAUACUGACGCUGAGGCGCGAAAGCGUGGGGAGCAAACAGGAUUAGAUACCCUGGUAGUCCACGCCGUAAACGAUGUGAACUAGUCGUCAGGAUGCUUGCAUCUUGGUGACGGAGCUAACGUAUUAAGUUCACCGCCUGGGGAGUACGGUCGCAAGAUUAAAACUCAA